AUCUAUGGACAUACCACCACAAAUGCACCUGAUCUUGUCUGAUCUCAGCAGCUAAGUAGGAUUGGGCCUGGUUAGUACUUGGAUCAGAUACUGCACUGUUUAUAUAUCUGCCCCUCUUCACAGAUC
ensembl:rRNA 5S_rRNA 5S ribosomal RNA